GAUGAACGCUGGCGGCGUGCCUAAUACAUGCAAGUCGAGCGAACAGAUGAGGAGCUUGCUCCUCUGACGUUAGCGGCGGACGGGUGAGUAACACGUGGAUAACCUACCUAUAAGACUGGGAUAACUUCGGGAAACCGGAGCUAAUACCGGAUAAUAUAUUGAACCGCAUGGUUCAAUAGUGAAAGACGGUUUUGCUGUCACUUAUAGAUGGAUCCGCGCCGCAUUAGCUAGUUGGUAAGGUAACGGCUUACCAAGGCAACGAUGCGUAGCCGACCUGAGAGGGUGAUCGGCCACACUGGAACUGGGACACGGGCCAGACUCCUACGGGAGGCAGCAGGAGGGAAUCUUCCGCAAUGGGCGAAAGCCUGACGGAGCAACGCCGCGUGAGUGAUGAAGGUCUUCGGAUCGUAAAACUCUGUUAUUAGGGAAGAACAAAUGUGUAAGUAACUAUGCACGUCUUGACGGUACCUAAUCAGAAAGCCACGGCUAACUACGUG
rnacentral:rRNA from 1 species